rnacentral:misc_RNA from 1 species
GAUGAAGAACGUAGCGAAAUGCGAUACUUGGUGUGAAUUGCAGAAUCCCGUGAACCAUCGAGUCUUUGAACGCAAGUUGCGCCCGAAGCCAUCAGGUUGAGGGCACGUCUGCCUGGGCGUCACAUAUCGUUGCCCAAUGCCUAUUGCAGUGCAAUAGGAAUUUCUAGGGCGAAUGAUGGCUUCCCGUGAGCGUUGUUGCCUCGCGGUUGGUUGAAAAUCGAGUCCUUGGUAGGGUGUGCCAUGGUAGAUGGUGGUCGAGUUAGAACGAUACCGAUCAUGUGCAUGCUCCCCAAAAUAUGGCCUCUAUGACCCACACGCGUCUUUGACGCUCAUGACGAGACCUCAGGUCAGGCGGGGCUACCCGCUGAAUUUAAGCAUAUCAAUAAGCGGAGGA